rnacentral:rRNA from 1 species
AUUGAACGCUGGCGGCAGGCCUAACACAUGCAAGUCGAACGAGUGGCGGACGGGUGCGUAAUGUCUGGGAAACUGCCCGAUGGAGGGAGAUAACUACUGGAAACGGUAGCUAAUACCGCAUACCAUCGGAUGUGCCCAGAUGGGAUUAGCUAGUAGGUGGGGUAACGGCUCACCUAGGCGACGAUCCCUAGCUGGUCUGAGAGGAUGACCAGCCAAACUGGAACUGAGACACGGUCCAGACUCCUACGGUAGGCAGCAGUUGGGAAUAUUGGACAAUGGGCGCAAGCUUGAUGCAGCCAUGCCGCGUGUGUGAAGAAGGCCGUCGGGUGGUAAAGUACUUUCAGCGAGGAGGCGUUACGCGAAAAAGAAGCACCGGCUAACUACGUGCCAGCAGCCGCGGUAAUUC